rnacentral:rRNA from 1 species
UACGGGGGGAGCAAGCGUUGUUGGAUUUACUGGGCGUAAAGGGCGCGUAGGCGGCGUGACAAGUCACUUGUGAAAUCUCCGGGCUUAACUCGGAACGGUCAAGUGAUACUGUCGGACUAGAGUACAGAAGGGGCAACUGGAAUUCUCGGUGUAGCGGUGAAAUGCGUAGAUAUGCGGAGGAACACCGAUGGCGAAGGCAAUCCCCGUGGGCCUGCACUGACGCUCAUGCACGAAAGCGUGGGGAGCAAACAGG